GGAUCGAACUCGGGAUCUUGCGCUUGCGAGGCACACGGCAGAACCACUGAGCUAAAUCCCUGGCCCUGGCUUUAUCUUUUUCUCUAGACCUACAGCAAGGUGUGUACAGGAGCUCCAAAGUAGCUAUAGGUGAGUUUUACCCAUGAAAUGCUCAUUGUUAAAUUUCUGUGCAUUUAGGGUUUGUUUUUUAAAAACAGUUUUCUUUUGAUUUUUCUGGUAGAAGUAGCCUGAUUCAGUACAAUUGCAUAUGAAAAACCAGAUUUGGAAGUUUUGGAGGAGGUCAAAAGUAUGGAUGAUGAAUAUGAUGAUGACUUUGAUGUUGGUCAUAUGAACCAAAGUUUCUAUGACAAUGAAAUGGAGGAAAAUCAACCAAUACAGACACAGGGAAUGCAGAUAUCCUUGAUUCAGAUGAUGAAGAGAGCAGCAAUUGCAUGUUGUACAAUAUAGUAAGAAGCUCCUAACAAAAGAGGAAGACAAGAGCAGUGACAAGAAUUGUGGGGGGCCUUGCCCCCCCGCUAGAACUCUUGAGUGCCUUUUAUGGACAUAUCCGGGCCUGCUGCAAAUCUACCCGGCAACAAGGAAGUAGCCCCAGUACCCUCCUCUUGCUCCUCCCCUCUAGCCCUACGGUAUAUAUGU
rnacentral:lncRNA from 1 species